UUAAGGCCUCAACCAAAGG
rnacentral:misc_RNA from 1 species